rnacentral:rRNA from 1 species
UACGGAGGGUGCAAGCGUUAUCCGGAUUCACUGGGUUUAAAGGGUGCGUAGGCGGCUUAUUAAGUCAGGGGUGAAAGACGGUGGCUCAACCAUCGCAGUGCCCUUGAUACUGAUGAGCUUGAAUACACUUGAGGUAGGCGGAAUGUGACAAGUAGCGGUGAAAUGCAUAGAUAUGUCACAGAACACCAAUUGCGAAGGCAGCUUACUAAGGUGCAAUUGACGCUGAGGCACGAAAGCGUGGGGAUCAAACAGG